rnacentral:sRNA from 1 species
UGACUGCUUCGGGGUUGUGCACGGUUGUGAUGUUGCUUUAUGUUUGCCGAAUAAGUUCGAGCUGGUAUUGGAUAUACUGCACGGUAUCUGCAAUUCUGCAUUUUAUAUGCCUAAAACAAGGGAAUUUUCGCCAGCGUCAUCAGCAAAUAAUAUCGUUUCCGGGGUUUAAAUUCGGCAGAUGCAUCAGGCAAGUAGGGCCUAAAAGAUUAGUGUGGUAAUGGGACGGUAUAGUUGGCAUUGCCAGUUUGAAACAAACUUUGUUUCGGUCCUGCUCACCAGCUUCUUCAACCUCGGCGCGAAAAAAACACACUGUUUAGUAAUUUGAAAAACAUACACGUAAAAAAAAUGAAGAUGAGUUGAAAAAGAAAGGGAAGAACACAGUCCUAAUAAAGCU